CUCUCUAUACCCCUUCAUACACACUCAUGCCUUCUCAACACACGUACCAGCCCACUUGCACGCACUUGCAAGCGCUUGCACCCUCCACACGCACCGCUCGGAGCUUUUCCCCCUCUCUCCUCCCAAUGGCUGGCUUCUGGAGCCGACCCUUCCACGCGCCCCCAGCUUCGCGGCAGCUAGGUCCCUCCCCAGCGCGCUGAGCUCACAGCGCAGGAGCCGGUCGCAGCCACACAGGCCGGUCCGACGGGACCACUGCUUCCCUCCUCACAUCCCAGGAGACACCAGGUGGGGCGUGGCACCUCCCACACACGGCUGGAGGGACUCCCAGGAUUUCCCGUCCUUCCGAAUUCGUGGGGGGUCAGAGGACUGCGGGGAGGCGUUUCUCAUCCUCGCUGGGGAAAGGACUCACCUGGUUCCCAAAGCCAGUUUGCUCUUCCUCUACUUCCUGCCAGAGGGUAAGGGAUUCCAAGAGAAAGACAAGGUCUUUAGGGCGGAGAAGGGGAAAUGACUCAGAGAGGAGGCGGCCCAGAGGGAGGGGCUGGGCUGGAAAGGGAGGGUAGUGGGGUGCCGGAGGGAAAGGGGAGAAAAAAGAGGAUGGGAGAAUCGCCUCGGGGGCAGUUUUGGGGGUGUCUAGCAAAGACCUGGAAGGCCUUCCCGGUUAACCCUGACUUCAGGAGCUGCUGCACUGGGUCAUUUGUUUCCUCAGUGCUGGGCCUUAAACUUUACCUCGUACCCAAAGCAGCCAUGGCUAAGACCCUUGCUAGCAGCUCACCAGGCAUGUAGGAAUCUGCAGGCCUGGGCAUGGGCGCAUGGAAUGAUUAACUCUUCAUGUUCGAGGGAGCCAAUAAUAGUCUUUACCUCAUAGGAUUCCUGGGAGGAUUGAAUGAAUCACUGCAUCUCGAGUGCUUGGCAUAGUGCCAGGCACACUGUAAGCAACCAAUAAAUGAUAGCGCCUAUAAUUCAAAAAGUC
ensembl:lncRNA novel transcript, antisense to MID2